CGUCGCUGCGGACUUCAGUUCGCAUCCGGACUUCGUCAGGGAAGGUUCCUCUGCUCUUUUGUCGGUUGGAACGGGAACCUCGCCCGCUUAGGGUCCUGGUCACUGAGAAAGGUGCUCGCUAGGCCUCUCUCGCCCUUGCGAGCGCUUCAUCAGUUUAAGACGUCUUUGCGUUCGCGGACGGAACCCCGAUCUGAGAAGGAAGUCAUGUCUUCGGCCGCCGUGUCCAAGUACGUGAACGACAUGUGGCCCGGCUCUCCUCAGGAGAAAGCCUCGCCGUCCACCUCGGGCUCGGGCCGCUCCAGCCGCCUGUCUUCGCGCUCCCGCAGCCGCUCUUCGUCCCGCAGCUCCAGACCCCACUCCCGCAGCUCCAGCCGCUCGUCCUCGCGGAGCCAUAGCCGGCCGCGGAGGAGCAGACAGUCCCGAUCCCGGUCCCGCAGGCGCCACCAGCGCAAGUACCGGCGAUACUCGCGGUCGUACUCACGCAGCCGAUCGCGGUCCCGCGGCCACCGCUACUACCGAGACAGCCGUUACGAGCGGCCGCGGAGGUACUACCAGUCGCCGUCGCCCUACCGGUCCCGGAGCAGAUCGCGCUCCCGCGGGAGGUCCCAUCACCGGAGGUCCUACUACGCGAUCACUCGAGGGCGGCGCUACUAUGGCUUCGGCCGAACCGUGUACCCGGAGGAUCGCCCCAGGUGGCGGGAAAGAUCCAGGACCAGGUCGCGCAGCAGGAGCAGAACCCCUUUUCGCCUGAGUGAGAAAGAUCGAAUGGAGCUGCUAGAAAUAGCAAAAGCCAACGCAGCAAAAGCUCUAGGAACAGCCAACUUUGACCUGCCAGCAAGUCUCCGGGCCAAGGAAGCAAGCCAGGGAGCUGUUUCCAGCAGUGGGCCAAAGAUGGAGGUAAGUCCAUUCAGAAAGCUGCUGCCGGCUGCUAGUACCCUGUGCAGUGUACCAUAGACAACCCCCCUCCUGGGGCGUCUUUGUAUUAUUUGUCCAGAACAAAACCUUAAUCUGACAAGUAUCAGAGUCUCUCCCAGGAAACUGGGAGACGAUGAACAAAACCUUAAUCUGACAAGUAUCAGAGAGUCUCUCCCAGGAAACUGGGAGAUGAUGAACUUCUUUCAUUUUGAUACUUGGUUUGUUUUUUCCACAACUGUAAAAACAGUAUGUUACUGGUAAUACUUUUUCUGUCUCUGUCUAGUCUUUAGAGACUGGAGUGUUCUCUCAGUACUUUUCAUGUACACCAUUAUGUUCCCAAAAGUCUGCUCAGCAUACAGUAUAGUUUAUCUGCUUUAUUUCUGUCUUAUAGAAAUCAUGAAUGUGGUCUCCAGACAAUGAUGAAGAAAAUCUGUUGAUGUUUUGAGAGAUUACAGAAGAAGAGGCCUGCUUCACUUGCAGAUAAGUUUAUUACAAUUCUCCAGAACUACAGAGGAUGUGCACUGGCACCUCGCAUUGUAUUUAUAAGUUAAUUUUUCAUGUGAAACCUUGAUCUUAAGAUUAAUAAUUUGGGCUGGGAUGUAACUCAGUUUGUAGAGAGCCUGUCGAGGGUGCAGUAAUACUGGGGGUUAGUUCCCAGCACUGAAAACUGGGUUUAGUACCCCAUACCUGUGAUCCCCAGCAGUUGGGAGACUGUCCUUGGACAGCUAGGGGAUAGAUACAAGAGAUGUGGUCUCAGAAAACCGCUUUAUAGAAAUGUAAGGUUAAAGAUAACAGUAUAAUGGAGAUGGUUUGUCUGUUGCUGAGAUCUCAGGGGUUGUAUAGUGUUUGCUCAGGCAAGUGCCCAAGAGGGGCUCCUUGAUGAAUGAAUUACAAAUGCCUCAGUUCUUUGACAAACAUUUUUUUAUUGUACUUAUUCAGAAUGAGUUGUAUCUACAACAGGAAUCUGGUAUUCAUGGGGAACUGUGUCUCCUAAGGCAAUCUUGCUAAGUGGAAAACAGAUUUGUUGAUUAGCGCAUUAACUGUGACAAUAGGUGGAAUUUGGUACGUGUAUCUACAGCUACAUUUGUGUACACUUUGGCUUUUUAUACAAUAUUCAAAAAACUAAGGCUGUGUUCAAAAUUCUCUUCCUCUUUAGCAUUCAGAAAAGCAGACUGAAGGUGGAACUAAAAAUGCCAGUGAGAAAUCUGCUGCACAGAGAAACAUAGCGUUCAGCUCCAAUAAUUCUGUAGCAAAGCCUCUAGAGAAAACAACGAAAGCUGCUGUUGAAGAGACGUCAUCAGGAUCACCAAAAAUAGAUAAGAAAAAAAGUCCUUAUGGACUGUGGAUACCUGUCUAAAGGAAAACUAAGGGGUUGCCUAAAACUGCACUUUACUGAGGGGUUCGUGUCCAGCAUUAGCUCACCUGCCUGAGUAAUCUCAGCAGUAAAUGUGAUUGAAAUCCAUUACAGAAAGAGGCUUAAUGGUGCCGUGUUCAUGGGUGAGGUUUCUCUUGAAGAUGUGAGGACACAGAUGACCCAGAGAAUUGCAUACAGGUGGGGAUCUUGUACAUACCUGUAAGUAUUGUAUAGUAUCGCUUAUAUACAAAGGUGAAUUUUUAUAAAGACACAGUUGUAAGCUGUAUUUUGUAUAUUUGUUAAUAAACUUUUUAUUUGUCUUGAUUUUAUGGAUAUGGAAUGUGUCUGUCUACAUCUGAAGAAGAAACCCUUUCUGAAAACAGACAAUACAGGAUUUAUGAAUUCA